rnacentral:lncRNA from 1 species
UCUAGGCUUGGGUUUCCUUCUCAGAUGGCUGAAAAAGCAGCCCUCAUUCCAGUUUGCCAUCAUGGGCCUAUGAUGGCCACCAUGGUGGUCUCCUCAAAGAUGCUGGCUGUCAGUACCAGGUGUCAAGACUUCCGGAGCUGCUAGAAAAUCAAGAUAUGGUGUCGAAAGAGCAGCACUAGAGCCUGUGCCGAGUUCAGGAGUGACUCUGCUUCUGGACACCAGCUCCCAGGUGAUGAGAUGCUGCUACACACUGGACUACACUUUGAGUAGCGCUUGUCAAGGAGGAAUGAUGGGAUAAAAAAGAGGAAUCCAGAGCGGAAACAGGAAGAUGCGGCAGGAUAUGAGCCUCAGCUCCUGGAAGGCGCUAUUGGAAAAGGGAGCAGACCCUCUCAGGUGGCUGGCCGUCCAGCUUCUGCUACGUCUGUGAGGUGGCUCAGUUUCGUCUGUCUGCAAAGUCCUGCCUUCCUUCAAGCUGAUGCCUCCCUCCUGUUGGUCCAGAGGAAAGACAGGACCAGUGGCUGGAGCAGGGACUGCAUGCCCCUGCUGCCCAGGACCCUCGGGGGAGCCCGGGAGAGAGGACCUGGAGCCUGACAGCUCUCCCCACUGAGCCUCAGGCCUGCGCUUGGGAGCACGGCUGAAAGUCAUCGUGCUGCUCUUCUGUCGUACAGGACUGGGAGACUCAAAAGAGGAAGCAAAGGGACCAUGACGCUCUCACAAGUGAAAUGAGGAAAAAUAAUGAAUUUUUAACAAAGCUAAAUUUAUUCAGUUUAAAGGACUCUCCUUUAUGCUUAGAUUAAAACUUCCUGUUUUUUUAACUAUCAUUUAUUAAAUUAAAGUAAUUGAUAGUCGUAUGUGUGUAUAUGAGUAUGUACGUAGUUUU